rnacentral:rRNA from 1 species
UACGUAGGGUGCAAGCGUUAAUCGGAAUUACUGGGCGUAAAGCGUGCGCAGGCGGUUAUUUAAGUCAGAUGUGAAAUCCCCGGGCUCAACCUGGGAACUGCAUUUGAGACUGUAUAGCUAGAGUACGGCAGAGGGGGGUGGAAUUCCGCGUGUAGCAGUGAAAUGCGUAGAUAUGCGGAGGAACACCGAUGGCGAAGGCAAUCCCCUGGGACUGUACUGACGCUCAUGCACGAAAGCGUGGGGAGCAAACAGGAUUAGAUACCCUGGUAGUCCACGCCCUAAACGAUGUCAACUAGUUGUUGGGGAUGAACUGACUCAGUAACGAAGCUAACGCGUGAAGUUGACCGCCUGGGGAGUACGGCCGCAAGGUUG